CCUACGGGUGGCAGCAGUGGGGGAUAUUGGACAAUGGGGGGAACCCUGAUCCAGCGACGCCGCGUGAGUGAAGAAGUAUUUCGGUAUGUAAAGCACUGUCAGCAGGGAAGAAAGCAAUGACGGUACCUGACUAAGAAGCUCCGGCUAACUACGUGCCAGCAGCCGCGGUAAUACGUAGGGGGCAAGCGUUAUCCGGAAUUACUGGGAGUAAAGGGAGCGUAGACGGUUAAGUAAGUCUGGAGUGAAAGGCCGGGGCCCAACCCCGGGACUGCUCUGGAAACUAUUGAACUUGAGUGCAGGAGAGGUAAGCAGAAUUCCUGGUGUAGCGGUGAAAUGCGUAGAUAUUAGGAGGAACACCAGUGGCGAAGGCGACUUACUGGACUGAAACUGACGCUGAGGCUCGAAAGCGUGGGGAGCAAACAGGAUUAGAUACCCGUGUAGUC
rnacentral:rRNA from 1 species